CAAAACCUGGUUGAUCCUGCCAGUAGUCAUAUGCUUGUCUCAAAGAUUAAGCCAUGCAUGUCUAAGUAUAAACAUUUAUACUGUGAAACUGCGAAUGGCUCAUUAAAUCAGUUAUAGUUUAUUUGAUAGUAACUUGCUACUUGGAUAACCGUGGUAAUUCUGCAGCUAAUACAUGCGUUAAAUCCCGACUUUAUG
rnacentral:rRNA from 1 species